GUCUAUGGCCAUACCACCCUGAAUGCGCCCAAUCUCAUCUGAUCGCGGAAGCUAAGCAGGGUCGGGCCUGGUUGGUACUUGGAUGGGAGAAAUCUAUAACUGAGUGAGGUAGAGU
ensembl:rRNA 5S_rRNA 5S ribosomal RNA